UCAGAGUGUUUGUGGUCCUAUUUGCAAGAGUGAGCGCCUUGCUGGAAGCGUAAUUAACAAGGCUGUGCAUAUAAUAUCUAACUGGGAGGACGAUACCCUUCGCAGAUUGCCGGCGAAACGACUGCAUGCAACACGCGAUUCUGUUGCAAAUUUU